rnacentral:lncRNA from 1 species
GAGGGCCGGGCCGGGCUGGACCGGGCCGAUGGCGGCUUUGGGGGCUCCGCCGGCCCCAGCUCCGGUUCCUCGGUGGCCUCACAGUUCCUGCGGCUGCAGGGCCAGCAGUGCCUGCGCUGGCUCGGAGACAUACACCAGGGAAGGGCCACAGCUCAGGGUCAUGGCCAACUCGAUCUGACUUUGCUUUAAAGGUACAGUGAAACAGAUAGCAGAAUUCCUGUAAUUCUCUUCUAGGUGUUUGCUACUCUUGUUAUUUUACAGACACACACACACGCACAUAUAUAUAUAUAUAUAUAUAUAUAUGUGAGGUUAUUUAUUCUGAGUUCAGCCUCUCUCUGCAGUGUUUAAAGACCGAUGCAGUGUUUCAGUGGGCCCUUACCUGUCUUUUCCACGUCCAGACUCCAGAGUUCGGUGUCUCUUCCCAGGCCCUGCAGUACCACAGCCCUGUUCUGGGUCUGUCACUCCUGCCCUGAUGCUGUGGGGAUGGUGCCCUGCCAAGACCCCUUCUGGUACUAGCUGAAUAAAAGCUUCUAGAGCUAAAGUUGGUGUGUCCAUUAUGUUGCUGCAUCAAGGGUGCCAACGACAAGAGAUCCCAGAGACAGUAUUCCCUGGAUCAGAGAAGCAUGCCUGAGGAGUGAGCUGGACUGUGACACAAAGAAGUCCCUGCCAAAGCAGUGACAGCAGAGGAAGGUGCACAGAGCAAAUGUCCUGCACUGGCUGCAGGUGUCCUGGAGCUCUCCUGAAGCAGAGCUCCCAUGGCUCAGAGUCAGAAUUUACCACCACAGAGAACAGCUACUGCUGCAUUCUACUGUUCCUUCUCCAUAUUGUCUCAAACUGCUCGGGAUUGUAUGAGGAUUCCAGGCUUGCAGCUGACCCCAUAAUGAGGUGGAACAACCCUGGCAGUGGUACAAGGGAUCUCUGUGUGCCCUGACCUCCACUGUGAACCCCAAAUCUCUCCUUUCCCUGGCACUUCAGCCAGGGCUGGAGAGUCACAGACCCCAGGCUGCAGAGCCAGGACACAAACUGAGGAAACUGUGGAGUAAGAACCCAGGGAAGGUGUUCCUAAUGGGAUCAGUGACAGUGAAGCUGCCCCAGGGAUCCAGCAGCAAUAUACCUGAGACUUAUGUAGGAACUUGUUACUCAUUAAUCAUUAGUCAAGACACACUGCCU